rnacentral:rRNA from 1 species
CCUACGGGUGGCAGCAGUGAGGAAUAUUGGUCAAUGGGCGCGAGCCUGAACCAGCCAAGUAGCGUGAAGGAUGACUGCCCUACGGGUUGUAAACUGCUUUUGUACGAGGGUAAACGCAGAUACGCGUAUCUGUCUGAAAGUAUCGUACGAAUAAGGAUCGGCUAACUCCGUGCCAGCAGCCGCGGUAAUACGGAGGAUUCAAGCGUUAUCCGGAUUUAUUGGGUUUAAAGGGUGCGUAGGCGGUCGGAUAAGUUAGAGGUGAAAUCCCGUGGCUCAACUUCGGAAUUGCAUUUGAUAGUGUCAGGAUAGAGGGUAGUAGAGGGAGGCGGAAUGUAUGGUGGAGCGGUGAAAUGCUGAGAGAACAGAAGGAACACCGAUGGCGAAGGCAG